AUUGAACGCUGGCGGCAUGCUUUACACAUGCAAGUCGAACGGUAACAGGUUAAGCUGACGAGUGGCGAACGGGUGAGUAAUGCAUCGGAACGUGCCCGAUCGUGGGGGAUAACGCAGCGAAAGCUGCGCUAAUACCGCAUACGAUCUGAGGAUGAAAGCGGGGGACCGUAAGGCCUCGCGCGAUCGGAGCGGCCGAUGUCAGAUUAGGUAGUUGGUGGGGUAAAGGCCCACCAAGCCGACGAUCUGUAGCUGGUCUGAGAGGACGACCAGCCACACUGGGACUGGGACACGGCCCAGACUUCUACGGGAGGCAGCAGUGGGGAAUUUUGGACAAUGGGCGAAAGCCUGAUCCAGCAAUGCCGCGUGCAGGAAGAAGGCCUUCGGGUUGUAAACUGCUUUUGUACGGAGCGAAAAGGUCCUUUCUAAUACAGGGGGCUCAUGACGGUACCGUAAGAAUAAGCACCGGCUAACUACGUGCCAGCCGCCGCGGUAA
rnacentral:rRNA from 1 species